ensembl:lncRNA
UUUAGAGGCUGCUACUGUGUUAAAGCUUGUACAGGUGUCAUUGCUACUCAGAGGUUGGCCAGGAACACCUACACUCCUUCCUGGGAGGAAAGCUUCGGUGCCGGGACCCCUUCGACCAGGAAGUCAGAGCACAUAUUCAUAGAUGACAACAUCCGGCAGAAUGAUGAGGACAUCGUUGCCCAUCCAAAAGUGUUCCUGGACUGAGACGGCUCAGAGACCUGCAUAUAGCCUCCACCUCACAGCUGUAUGACCUACGUCUGGUCCAGAACGACCGUUCAGAGCCAUCUAAGACCUAGUGUAUUUUAGCCAGCUAUGACAGGAACCUCCAGCAUGGGGCAGGCUAGAGUGGUGUGUCUGCAGCCUAUAGCUCCAGGGUGAGGGCUUGGGUUGGGGGAACUCAUUGGGUCUGCUGGUUGAAGGUAACUGCUGUAGUUGCUCAAACUCCUUCUCUAAGUUCAGUGUACUCAGGGUGUGUGAUACUGACAACCAUUAUAUUACAAAUGUAGAAGACGGCUGUUUUUAAAAUAAAAAUAGGUCAGAACUAGGUCAUCAAUGUAAAGGCAUUGUUUACGUAUACCAAAUUCUGUUAAGAAUAUACAAGUCAUAUACCUCACUGUUUCUAAUAUCACAACGAGAGAGUUACAUGGUUGAGCAGUGAAACUCUGUUAUAACUUCACACGUGCUCUUAUCUAAAGACAUGCUUCAGUUAGAACCCCAGUUAGUCUUACUGUUUGACUAUUUAUAAUGGCAUUACAAUGGAUGAGCUUGAAACAGCUAAGCCCUAGUUUAAUUUGGGUGUAUUUGGUUUGUGGGUUUGUUUGCGCUGGAAUUGAUUUAACUUUCUUUGGAAGCGCUCUUAUGUGGAAACACUAUUCCUAAUGAUAUAUCCAGGGAAUGUGUUUCACACUUUUUGUGGAUGGUCGUGUUGGAGAUUUAUAUGACUUAUUUUUAAGCUUGAAGGGGGGUUUGCCAUUUGACUACUGCAAAAUCGAGACACCUUUUCUAAGUAACCCAUCACAAUGGCUGGUGGGUAAUUGAUGAAGAUGGGGCACAAUCAGGCCUUUGACUGCAGUACAUAACUGAGACGGUUCAAUUCUAAGAAACAGGCGAAUGGGCUGUUGUUGCUAGGGCAACAGUCAUGUUUGAUAGGAGACACAUUCAGACUGUAUAUUUGAACCGACGGCUGUGUAUCUGGAUGUACUUUGUGUGUUCUUGUAUGUCAUUGUCUCAAGGCAGAUAGUGUAACUAAUCGUCUGCGUUGACUGUCAGUCGGGGGUGACGUAGGAUUGACGCCACCUGACGUAAGACAAUGCUUGUAUGUUUCGUGGUGAACAUUCUAAACUAUCAGCUUGUACUCAUGUGGAGUUCAAUAGAGCUGUGUGGAGGAAAAUGUUUGUUUCUUUUUUGUGCCACAGACACACUGUGUAUGGGAAUUUACUGAUCAAAUAUUGAUUAGUUAGGGUGUUACUGUCACCUAAAAGCACUAUCGAUUUCCCCUCAGGCCUUUUGGAUACAGUUAAGUUGUGAACAAGUGAUUGAUUAUCAGCCUACAGGGUGAAGACUAAUGAUGGAUCUAGGGGAACUAAUCAAUCAGGGAUCAUCAGCAGAGCAGGGUGUGAGGUUACGUUUAAAGUGUGAUUAUUGCUAUUAUUGACGUUUUAUUAUUAGGGGAGUUACUAACAGUGAUAAUUCAACUUCGAACAGAGUGGCUGCGGUUCUGGAUUUUCUGGAACACAGGAGUUUUGGACUAAAUAUACAGAGAUUUCUGCACAUGUGUAAGAUCCGCUGCGUGCCCUACCCCUCCCCGAGUCCUUCCAGCUGCUGCUCUGUGAUCACUCACCCCAUGACUCCGCUGCCUGCCCUACCCCUCCC